GCUCAUUUAAUGUCUGGAGAAAGCAUUCUGCACUCCACCGCCGUGCUUUCGGGCUUCAAAAGCAGCUUCGAGACUGAGGAAUCGUAGGCAGAAUUAGACUGAGAUCCGGGAGUUCUACAACCUUGCUGAAUUUAAAAGGACCAUGUCCUUGGUCAGCUAAACCACAUGCGAUGGCCAAGGGGCAGAGGAAAACAUGGCAGGGUAGAGACUCUUGGACUUACUCAUUUGGAUUUUGGAGUUUUACCUGACUUGGUCAAGCCUCAUGCCAGAUCCGGGCUGAGGAGGAGGAGGAAGAGGAGGGGUUGGUCUUGUUCUUGCUGUCUUAGGGGUGACACAGGCAGAAGAAAAUCCAAGAGGACCUUGGUCAAAGAAGGAGGAGGAUCAAUGGCCUCUUUUCCUCCUGUUUUUUUUUUUUUUCCUUAAAGAACGCAAAGAAGCAAAGCGAGAACAUUAAGCCCAAAUGAGAACUGUGUUCUUUGCAGAACUUUUUGAGGUCUGCUUAAGCCAUUUAUAUAAAGAAAUGACACAGUUCCUCUUUGGUAACCUUGAUCCUGAGAGUAAGUGUGACAGGCUUACAGCUUUUUGUUCUCUUCAUUACUCCAGAAGUUGCAGACUGCACUCAGCAAGACCUCACAACAUGGAGGAAAAUUAAAGAGAUAAAUAGUUCAUGGCGUAUCCGCUUACCCCCACCAUAAAUUGACAUCAUUUUGUGCGCAAUCCAGGGAGAAGAAAAAGAUCAGGAGCUUGCAUACCAUCUGAGAGAAGGGAAGGAGCUUUGACAUGUUGCCAUCUGAGGAAUAUGUACUUGGGAUGGGACAGGGAAGCAGAGUAGAAAUGAACAAGAGAACUUAGUCAACAAAUAUAUGAAUCUAUUAAGGUUUUUCAAGAAAGAGAGACAAAAUUCAGCAUGGCUCACCAAAAAGAAAGCAACGGAUGCCUCUGCCUCUGAUAUAAUUGCUAAGCAUCUGCUGUGUUAAAAAGAAACAUUUGAGAAUUGCGGGACGUGCCCUUUGAGUUUCUCAGCAACGGUUAUGCUGGGUCAUCUAUACCUCCUUGCCCCACGCCCCUUGUAACAUACAUUGGUGAGACAACUGGCCAGGAUUAGAGGUAUGAUCUGUAACCCUGAAACAGAGUGAAAUUGGCAAUGAGGAGGCUGAUCCUACGAAAAUUAUAAGCACUGUAAGUACUCUAAUAUCUGACCCCUGACUGCCAUGGAUGGGCACCUGCCUCCCAGCUAUAAAGAUUCUUCCAGUAAAAGAAUCAAAAACGAAAACAUGCAAACUUCUGCACAUCAGUGCAUUUGCCUGAGGUGUCACCCAGCCAUGGCUUCAGAGGAGGCGUGUGUGUGUCAACUGAGAAAUUGAGAAUAAUCAGCCUUUGCUUUCUGUCUGCAGAGGCUGGCAAAGGGGAAACAAGCUAUGUAGUUUAGUGCUGGCAAAAUAAACCACUGUGUAGUUAUAAGCAAGAGUAGGUGGGUGAGUCGAAAGAUGGGUGGAUGGUGAGUGGGUGGGGUCCCCUUCCUGAUAUAUAAAAACAGAACUCCUAGAUUUGGGGUUAAGGUUACAAUUGGACUCCAGGAAAACACACACUGUACAUUCAUAGUAAUUCUAAACCAGUUUUAAAAUGUAAAUUAAAAAGUAUGUUCCCUCUAGCAGGUCUGAAUAGUAUUAUUUACUAAGAGAAAGGAGCUCAUGCUCCAUGCCCUCUUUGAUAGCCCCCCCCCCCCACCGUGCUCCUAGAUUGACAGGUGAUACCAGGGAAGCCACUGCCUGCCUUUGUGCCUUUGGGGAGGCGGGGGUUGCAGUGGGGUGUCUGAAGGCUCACCAUCGCCGGACUCCUUCUUCCUGAGAUGGGGCACUUGGCUGUGAAGCCACAGGAGGCUGGAGGGGUAGAGGCUGGGGGCAGGAAGAGGAGGAAGUGAGGAAGGGGGCGAUGCCCGGGAGGGCUCUGGGCGAGUAACCAAUUCCUUCACUGGGGGCAGGCGGGAGUCUCCAGGGUCAUUAUGGGGCAACCUGUGCAGGGACGGGAGGAAAGAGGUUUCCGGAAGGCUCCCGCUCUCCCUCCCGCCUGCUCCCCUCCUCGGCCUGGCGGUUGAUGGCGAGGAGCAGCGGAAGGAAGGAUGUAUCCAGCAGAAAGAAGAAAGGACCCCUGCGGGUCGACCCCUGACAUCCGACUCUGAACGGCAGCAGCGAUCGGGAGGCCGCGGCGUGUUGCAGAUUAACAGCAGCGAAGGGCGGGAGGCGCAUCAGAUGCCUCGGGAGCCGGCUGUUUCCUUUAUCCCUGAGAGCUGACUGUAGGCACAGGUUCCAUAUCAAA